AUGUCCAAGGCGGCCUUUGAGCACUUCACAUCUAUACCAAGCUCUUCCACUCACCGUGAUCACUCCAUCGACCUCGAUGGUGUCGAUCAUCGCCACUUUGACCUCGUGGAUCUCGAGCGGCCUUUUACCGAGGACGAAAUCUGGCGCGCCAUCAAGCUGCUACCCACAGGAAAGGCGCCUGGCCUCGAUGGGUUCACGGCUGAGUUCUUGCGCUCCUGCUAGCCGGUUAUCAAGGUCGACAUUUGUGCCGCAUUCGACAAGAUCUAUGCUAUGAAUGGUCGCGGCUUCCACAAGCUUAAUGAAGCCCUGAUCACCUUACUCCCCAAGAAGCCCGAUGCCGCAACGCUCUCUGAUUAUAGAACCAUCAGUCUGAUUCACAUCGUGGGCAAGCCUUUGUGA
rnacentral:rRNA from 1 species